GGGCGUCGAGUGCUUGCACUUCGCUGACGAGCGGCGGACGGGUGCGUAACACGUAGGAAUCUGCCUGGUAGUGGGGGAUAGCCCGGAGAAAUCCGGAUUAAUACCGCAUACGCCUUACGAGGGAAAGCAGGGGAUCUUCGGACCUUGCGCUAUCAGAUGAGCCUGCGUCGGAUUAGCUGGUUGGUGGGGUAAAGGCCUACCAAGGCGACGAUCCGUAGCUGGUCUGAGAGGAUGAUCAGCCACACUGGGACUGAGACACGGCCCAGACUCCUACGGGAGGCAGCAGUGGGGAAUAUUGCACAAUGGGCGAAAGCCUGAUGCAGCCAUGUCGCGUGUGUGAAGAAGGCCCUAGGGUUGUAAAGCACUUUCAGUGGGGAGGAAAGGUUGAAGGUUAAUACCCUUUGGCUGUGACGUUACCCACAGAAGAAGCACCGGCUAACUCCGUGCCAGCAGCCGCGGUAAUACGGAGGGUGCGAGCGUUAAUCGGAAUUACUGGGCGUAAAGCGUGCGUAGGCGGCUACCUAAGUUGGAUGUGAAAGCCCCGGGCUCAACCUGGGAACUGCAUCCAAAACUGGGUGGCUAGAGUACGGGAGAGGAGUGUGGAAUUUCCUGUGUAGCGGUGAAAUGCGUAGAUAUAGGAAGGAACACCA
rnacentral:rRNA from 1 species